UACGUAGGGCGCGAGCGUUGUCCGGAAUUAUUGGGCGUAAAGAGCUCGUAGGCGGUUUGUUGGGUCGUAUGUGAAAGCCCGGGGCUUAACCCCGGGUCUGCAUUCGAUACGGGCAGACUGGAGUGUGGUAGGGGAGAUCGGAAUUCCUGGUGUAGCGGUGAAAUGCGCAGAUAUCAGGAGGAACACCGGUGGCGAAGGCGGAUCUCUGGGCCAUUACUGACGCUGAGGAGCGAAAGCGUGGGGAGCGAACAGG
rnacentral:rRNA from 1 species